ACUAAUCUGGAAAAAUUAAAAUCAUCCUCCAACAGCAAUUUGGCUUUUGCAAGAAGCAUAAAUCUAAGCGAAACCUUCUUCUAAGGUAAUAUUACUGUGAUAUUCUGAUAUUCUGAAACAGAUCUCAUCUUGUGGGAUUGCUGGGUUUUGUGACACACCAUAAUAGGAGGUAGGAGGUCAGAGGACUAUUAUGACACAUGUAUAAUGCCCAUGUAGCAGAUGGGAGAAACAGGGAGUGCUCAAGCUAGUGUACCCAGUAAUUUUAGGUGCUGUGAUUAAAUGCUGAGCCUGGCAUCUCUGGAAUAGCAUCCGCUGGGCCCAGGAGGAGCUCUCAGCUUUCUGAUUCAGAUGGAAGAGUGCUUUGUGUCUUCCUAAACGAAGGUCCAGAUCCUGGUCUGGUUGGCUGACAGUGAUGUGCUGUGUGCCAGACUCUCCCUCGGGCUUUAUGAGAAGCGCGUUUGACUGUCUGGAUCUGAGAACGCUUUCAAAUUUGAACAAGGCACUUCUCUCACAGUCCCCAGCCCUGAGGAUUUCAGCUUGCAAGAUGGGUGCUGGCUAGCUGAAGGGCAGUGAUUUUCAAUGCUGUUUGUCUUUUGACUAGGAUCUGGAAAUGAGCAGAUGCUGUUGAUUGCACAGCGAUGACUGAGAGGUGGAAAAGGGGUGGAGGAGCACCCAUCUUCCCCACUUUCAGCUUGGCCUGGGUUCACAACAGCACAGCAUAGACAACAUAAUUAAGGUGCACGGAUGACUUUUGCACAACUGGUUCCUUGGCACUGGAUCCGUGGUUUAUUUCUCCCUGGCUUUUAAGGUUAAAAUGCUGGAUGAUGUCAGCAGAUGCUGUCAGGUACUCAAAGUAUUUCAGUUUCAGACCACAGUGGUACAUCCAUAGUCAUUUCCAAAUGUUCGUAUAAGGCCCCCAGUAGGAGACUCAUUCUGUAUGGUCCUGCACUUUGUUUUCUUUGAAGAGGCUGAAAACUCCUGUGUUUGCUGUGUACAAUUUUCAUCUUCAGUGGCACAGCAUAUCAUUGAUCCUUUCUUCCACCUUGCAGAGAUUUCUGCUCUCUUAUCUUAUUCUGCGGUGGAUGAACCAAGAUUUGAGCAGUUCCCUUGCGUACUUCUGUUUAUAGUAUAUUUAUUGGAGUGAGCAGCCUCUGCCAUUUAUUACAACCUGUAUUUGUUCAGGUUAUACUCACCAUAGAGCUGUUGUCAAUAUUUGACUCUGUUGACCAUACAGAUUGAGAGCGAUGCGUUUCCAAUUACUUGUAAGGAUGUUCAGAAUGGUUUGUUUUUUCCUGUCUCAAAAUGGCCAGGUGCUCAGAGUCCUUUACAAAGCUGUAGCAAUUUGCUAUUCACUGCUUAAGACUUCUUCUUUUGGGGCUUAAAAAGAUGUGUGUGGUGCUGUGCUUACAUUUGCUGUACUGAGAACAUGGACAGAGCUACCCUGCAAAACACCAGUCACAGCAAGACAAACCAGCAAAUUGUCUCUGGCCUUUGGCUGGGUUUGCCUUUACACCCUGGUGAGAUGAAUUUACAUUUCUCAGCCUUAUUUUUAUAUGAUUCAUGUUUGUUCUACAAAACCACAUUGUCUGUGGAAUCAGCCUGGCAUUUGUAGUACUUAGACUUCAUUAGGGGCUCAGUGUGAUUGUAUCCUGAGUUUAUUAUAUAAAACACUUUUUGGCUGAAGUCUUGAAUUUUCCAUCUUAUAUACCAAACCAUAGAUUUUCUGAGGCAAACACGGCUAUGAACAGACUCUGCUCACUCGAAGAAUGGGGAACUGGGGGAGGAGUGCACAGGGCCUACACGUAUCUGGAAAAAGAAUGUGAAGGAAGAAGAUCCUGUUUGCUUCUCCGAUGCACUUUGAAAUCCUCAGUGCCCGUGGCUGAAGGCACUUGUUUAUUGGCAUCAUCUUCCAAAUACUUUGCUGUAAGUAAUGCUUUCAUAGGAAGUAAAGUACUGCUGUAUGAAGUUCUGCUGUUGUGGCUCAUUCCUGGCAAAUGUAACUCGUGGAGUUGUGAUUUCUUAACGAAGGAAAAAUCCUUCCUUAUUUCUAAUCUAAAAAAAAUAUAUAUAUAUAUAUAUAUGACAUUGUAUUUACAAAUAUUGAAGAUUAAAAGAGUAUUUUAUAUCUUGGCCAAACAUAAUAAUUUGAUUGUACUUCUUUAAACAAAUAUUUCAACUGUUUUUUGGCUUCUGUUUCUACAGUUUUAGUUCUGCAUCAAUAACAUGCACUGACUGUAAGGAGAAGAAUCUUCUCCAAUCCCUGUCUUUGUUAAUAUCAGAGUUAUUUAAUCUAUACACACUACAUAGCCCUACAAUAAAAAUUGCAUAGUUGCAAGUAUGCCAUUCACCUUCUGGGACAGCAGAAGCUUGAAAACUAAAUGACUGUGUUCAGUACAGCAAGGCCUCACCUUUCGUUGCUCCCAAAGAAUCACAAAAAGUGUGCAUCAAACCUGUUAGAGGUUUCUUGAGUGGUAAAAUAGUCAUUUCAUAGCUGCAUCUAAAUUACAGGGUGGGUGUGCUGCAUCCUGUGUGCCACAUAUUUGAGCUUGUCCUUGCCCCAGCCAGGAGUCGACCCAGCUCUAGUCCCACCUGGCCAUGUGGGUUUUGUUCUUGUUCUCAAGGUUCUCUGUCUGCAUUUUCCAUGACAUUAAUCUUAUUGCUAAUCUUGCUUCCUGGCUUGCACGUCUCUCUGGGUCAUCUCUGCUUUAUAUGGAGUUUGGAGUCUGUUCAUUUCUGGCCAUCCUAAUUCUUCACCUUUGCCAGGUUGCUUCAUGAGGCUGAAGGAGAAUGUGCUUUUCUAUUGUCAGUGCAGAAACUGGCUCAUCCCAGAUCCAUCUUUGCCUUCUCAAUGCUCCUUCUUCUGGGGUUGAGGAGCAUCCAAAUGCUGGGUGAUUAUUUCUUUGUCUUCCUUGCAUUUUGAACUGUCUAAUUAAAAUGAAUUAAAGAUAAUAAAAGCGAGCAGUACUUUUAAGACCCACAUCCUGGUAGUCUGACUCUGCUAUUACUCAUAUAUUUUUGAAGUUAGUUUGCUUCUUCUAGGGUUUCUUAGCCAGUAGUAUUAUAAAGUGAGAGACAGACUGACAGAGUUGUAGCUUGAUGUCACUGUAAUUAUUAUUAUUUCAUAUGUAGCCUUUAAUGUGAAGAACUGGAAGGGUAGACUCCCAGUUUAACCUAAGUCCAUGCAUAUGUCCCUUACUGAAGUGUACCAAGUCAGGAGGCUGCUAGCAGAGUUAAGAAUAUGUAUAUCAGUGGUUUCCUGAACUGGGGAGCACUUUUUUCCCAUCAUAAUGUAAUAUUUUGCACAACCAAAACACAUAGGUCGAAAGGCCAGAAAAUCAGUACAAGCUGUAACACUCUUGUAGGGGAGGGGUAGGUGGAAACAAAACCUAAAACCAUUCAUACAUUUUAAAUGGUUUCCCCUCCUCCAUUCAUGCAAUGAUACAGAACAGCUGGUCAUGAAACCUGGCUGCAUAUUUGUAAAAUGGGAACAGAUUACUAAAUCAAAUUUGUUGACCAAUUUUCAAGUAUGUGGCCUUGAGAUA